ACAUUCCUCUCACAUGAUGUGAAUGAAAACCUUGUGCAAUGCACUGGUCGGGCAGUGAUUGUCCCCAUUUGUGUUUGAGACAAUACCUGCCCAGGUAGCAGAGGUGACACGGCCAAGUUGCUCUCCGAGGCCCAACAUGCCCUGCCUGCCAGAGCUAAGCUCCUGUGCUCCUGGAGCGGGAUUUCUCCCUUUGCCUGGAUGGUGGACGUGAUCUACACCAGCUGGCUGGCUCUCCUGGGGCUCCCCGCAUCUACCUGGAGCCAGAUUUCUGCCAGAGCACUGUUGCUUUAUUCAGUUGAUUCCCCACAGUCCCCAUUUACAUGUCACCAUCAUCGUCAUCAUCAUCUGAGAUCAAGAUGAGGUCCAUGAAAGCUUGCGGACUGACUACUUUCCAGUACUCAUCUGAACCAAAGAAGAAGGCAGGGUGUCAGAAAAAGCCUUGAGUUCAAGUCUCUGUCUUCUUACUUGUGAAACGGAAAUAAUAUAAUCUGACUGACUUGCUCUAGAGUCAACAAGCCAAGAAAUGCAGAAGCCUUUUGCGAACUGUAAAGCCCAAUGCAUUCCCGAGCACUUGGUUGCCAGGUUGAUGCUCUGAGGGGACCGAUCCAAGGGACACCUGUAGCCCGGGAGUUGGGAGUUGGCAGGGGAGAGGAAAGCUCUUGAGAGUUAGUCUGACCAAGAAGCCAGGUGCUCUCUUUCUUCCAAAACUAAUUUCCACUGCAAAGACUCUCUGUUCAGAGCAGAAUCUUGAGGGCCCUGGUCUUCUAGCUUAUUCAACGGUAGCUGUGGGGCCUCCACAAAUGGCUCUCACGCACCUCUU